GUCCAGACUCCUACGGGAGGCAGCAGUGGGGAAUAUUGCACAAUGGGGGAAACCCUGAUGCAGCGACGCCGCGUGAGCGAAGAAGUACCUCGGUAUGUAAAGCUCUAUCAGCAGGGAAGAAGAUGACGGUACCUGACCAAGAAGCUCCGGCUAAAUACGUGCCAGCAGCCGCGGUAAUACGUAUGGAGCAAGCGUUAUCCGGAUUUACUGGGUGUAAAGGGAGCGCAGGCGGCACGGCAAGCCUGAUGUGAAAGCCCGCGGCCCAACCGCGGGACUGCAUUGGGAACUACCGGGCUGGAGUGCCGGAGGGGCAGGCGGAAUUCCUGGUGUAGCGGUGAAAUGCGUAGAUAUCAGGAGGAACACCGGUGGCGAAGGCGGCCUGCUGGACUGCGACUGACGUUGAGGCCCGAAAGCGUGGGGAGCAAACAGGAUUAGAUACCCCUGUA
rnacentral:rRNA from 1 species